GAAAGACGGACAUGUAAGUGAUAAGAUCGAAACACUGAAAAAAGAUUGUUAUGGCCAUGUGUGUUGAUCACGCUUCUUAUGUACUUUUCUUCUUCUUCUUUCUUCUUUAUAUUUGUUGUUUGUUCCAUAUAUGUGUUUGUUAUGAAAAGA
rnacentral:ribozyme from 13 species